rnacentral:rRNA from 1 species
CAGCAGCCGCGGUAAGACGGAGGGUGCUAGCGUUGUUCCGAAUCACUGGGCGUAAAGGGCGCGUAGGCGGCCUGUUAAGUCGGAUGUGAAAGCCCGGGGCUCAACCCCGGAACUGCAUCCGAGACUGGCAGGCUUGAGACCGGGAGAGGAGGGUGGAAUAUCCAGUGUAGAGGUGAAAUUCGUAGAUAUUGGAUGGAACACCGGUGGCGAAAGCGGCUCUCUGGCCCGGAUCUGACGCUGAGGCGCGAAAGCGUGGGGAGCAAACAGGAUUAGAUACCCCCGUAGUCCCUGUCUCUUAUAC